rnacentral:hammerhead_ribozyme from 1 species
AUCCAGCUGAUGAGUUCCAAAUAGGAGGAAUUCCGCGUUCUGGAU